AAAAAAAAAAAAAAGACUACACUCCCCACAAGCCUCUGCGGGAGCUUCCGCAGGAGCUUCCGGAAGCUGGGGUUAACCAGAGAAACCAUUUCCGAUAUGCGAAUCUAGCGGGAGCGGUUCGUGGGCUGUUAGGCGUGCAUUGGAUAGUUUCCUGCACCUAACCAGCCGAAUUCCUUGGGCUGAGGCUCCAUAGCAUGCUAACUACUGUUACCGGGGGAGUACCCAGCUUGUAGAUUCUUGGCCUCUCUACCCCCAAGAAUGGGGAAAGGGGCCCAGGAAGCGCAGUGAGUUUACCGUCUGAAUAAAAUCGUGGACCCAAAGAAUUUUUGCGGAAGAAAGAUUUAUUAGACAGAGAAAGAGAGAAGAUAGCUCCCACACUGUGGUGGGAGGGGAACCCAGAAAGGAAAAUCCGUUCAGAUUCAGUGUUGGCUCUCUAAGAGGCUGAGAUGGUGGAAAGCUCUGGUCUGAGGGGUUGUAUACAUGGCCAAGGCCAAGAUGAGAAACCCUAUGAAAACAAGAGAACCGAGUGAAAAUUCGCCUCCUGAAGAGCAGAACUCCAAGCUGCCUUCUCUUCCUCAACUCCCCAAACACUGGCAAUCAAGCUGUAUUCUCUGGGAAAAUGGGAAGAUUUUUCUCUGGGAAUUCUGCCCUGCCCAGAAGAAAAGGCCCAUAAACACUGGGAGUGGGUGUCUCUUAUCCCUACCUCAUCACCCUACAGCAGUCGGUCUUAAACUUGAGGGACACCCUCCCACCUCCAACCUGGUCUUCUCUUGGUACAUUUAACAGAGCCUGGAGUUGCUGUGGGUUGUCUCACCUGGUAGGAGGUGGGUGUUACAGGUAUCUAUCACACAGAGGCCAACGAUGCUGCUAAACAUCUUACAACUCAAAAGACAGUUUCACACAAUGAAGAAUUAGCUGGUCCAAAAUGUCACUAAUGCUGAGAUUGAGAAACACUGUCCUAAAGUGAGGCCCACCCAUCAGCAAGGCCUACGCACAUGCAGAAUGCUUCCACAUAGCCUUUCAGCACCUCACAAUGAAAUAUCAGCAGAUAGCCAAGCGCCUCCCAACAAUAAAACAAAGAUCAAAAGAGUGAUGACUUAAAAGAUUUUGCCAAAGUGACAGAUCAAUGUUGUCCCUGACACAUGCAUCUCAGUGGUGAAGUCUCCCUGCAUCCAUUCCUGCUCCCUUUGCCAAGGUCAAAGCCCACUGAGCAGCCAUCCAACCACAGGACUACAACAGGGGGACUCUCCGGCUCAGUGGAGGUCUUCUCCACUCCAAACUGUAUGCAUGAAUACUCUGACAUUCUAGGAUAUCAGAUGAGCUGAGUCUUGCUAGGGAGAGUGAGCUCUAGAAACAAAGUAGUAGUUAGAAUUCAAAACAUCCAAGGAGAGGGGUUAGGGAGGUGUUUCCUAUGGCAGAAGUGGCUGAGAAACUUCAAGCAAUUAAGUUGCCUGCCCUGCGCUCUGCUACUGCUACACCAGCUUGUCUCCAAAGGAUUGGUGAUGAGCGACUGCACGUCAUAGCCUGGCUUUGUGCUGCUCUGUGGAAUAGAGAAGAAGCCCUAGAGCCCAGGAGGGUAGAGAGAACACAGACAAGGCUGGAGAUGGAGCAGCUGACAAGGCGAGGGCCACAUCUCUACCACUAUGUGGCCAUAGGGCAUACCUUCAUGAGGCAGUGAAGUAAGGAGCUUUGUAGCAGGUGUAUUGUGGAGCAGAAGAAAGGGGCAGGCUCGUUCAUGCCCUGGCAAAAGUGGGGCCCAGACUCACUGAGGCUGGGAGCAAAGUGAUGGUGAGGAGGAAUCCCACAGGGGUCUCUCCUAACUCUUCAGGGCUUUGGGUGUUCUGGUUAUGGCCGUAUUAUCUCACUCAGUCCCCAAAGGGCUCUUGCAGUUGUUGCAGCAGAAUUAACUCCACCCGGCAGGUGGGAAAAAAAGGAGGCAGAGAAAGCUUCAAUAACUUGCUUAUGGUAGUGUGGGAUGAAGAGGGGCUUGUCACCUGUCUGAUUCCAGCUGACACUAAAUAAUGAAGUUUGACUGUAUUUGUUUAACACUUGUGCUUUGAGGAGCAUUACAGUUGUUCCUUGUCCUUAUACCGUGUGGGCAGAAAUAACAGAGCCCCUGAAUCUAGGCUCCCUACUUUCUUUCCCUCACUCUACCUCCUGGGAUGGUGGGGGAGAAGCAGACAAAUAAAAAACCAUGACCCAUAGUCACGAGCUGGCUGCAGUUUUCCCUGUGGGCCGUGUAGAACGUGCCUCUCAGUCUGUCUGGCUUAUAUCUGGCAGUAAUCAUCCCCUGCCCUGGGAGUAAUGGGGGAUGCCCUCAGGUCCCAGAUACCUGGAUCUGGGCCCAACUUCCUUCUUAAGAGUCUGAGAUGGCAGAGACAACCUCAGCAGGUUGAGGCAAGGGUUUCAUGAACUCUUGGCCUCAAAUGAGCUGCCCACCUCCGACUCCCAAAGGUAAGAGAUUACAGGCGUGAGCCACCACACUUGGCCCACUUUUUAAUUUUUUUUUAAGAGAUGAGUCUCACCAUGUUGCCCAGGCUGAUCUUGAACUCUUCAGCUUACGUGAUCCUUAUGCCUCAGCCUCCCAAAGUGCUGGGAUUACAGUUGUGAGCCACCACCCACAGCCCAAAAGAUAAAAUUCUUAAGGAUUUCAGCCAGGCACCAUGGACCCUGAGUUUAAGGGUCCUUGAAAACAGGACCCUUCUGCCUCACCUUCAGUGCUGACUGAGAAAGGUCAAGGAACCAAGACUCUGAGUAAACAAGCUUAGCAGCACUGUUCAUGUUACACAGUCCAAAGCUUUCAGGGACACACUGCUACCAUCCAGAUCCCUAUGGCCUAUCUCCCACCCUGUGCCACAUCCUCAGCACUGCGCUCAUUGGUGUGGGUGCGUAGGUGGAGGGCAGCAUCCUUGAGAUAGCACCAGCUCACGUUAUCCAGCUAGGGUGUUAGCUGGCGUAACUGGAUCCUCUCCAUUGUGCCGGUUUACAACGUUCUAUGAGCAACACUGGAUGUUUUGUAAGCAGAUACCCACAGCUAAUUAUAAAUAUAUGUAUAUACUUCUAAUUGGAGAGACAAAUUAACAAGAUGGCCCAAGAAGCUUCCCCAAACAGGAGGUCUGGGGACAAAAGCACCCCUGGAUUUGAACGCCCUGCAACUUUUGGUGGAGAUUGCACGUGUCAUUUUUGUUGUUGUUAUAUUGGGCCUUGGGGUUUUAUUUUCUCUGAGCAAACCAUAUCCAUGAAAGAGAAUUAGAACAGAACUCACCCCCCUUAGCACUAGCAACAGGAACGUUCACUAUCCUGAUAACAUCAGAGCACAACACUCCGAUAUUGUUACUCUUCAGAAUAAUGUUUGAGUGGAAUGUCCUGCAAAUGUUACUCAAAUAAUAUUAGCUAAAGUCUUGUAUUAAGAACAAUGAAGAAAAAGAAAAGGAAUAUUUCACAAAAAGUUAAAAGCACAUUUUUGUGCCACUUUACAAACACAUGUCAAGACCAGCAUGGAGAAAAGGCAAAUCUUGAUGAGGCAAAACCCAAAGGCAGAGCAGAGAGGGAAUCUUCCUGGAGGCUGGAAUGCUCUGCUCAGACCCCAGACCCCACCUGGCAGUUUGUUAGGGUUAUAUCUCUGCUAGGAAACAUCAUUGCAAGUCAUGUUAUAAAAUGCUGGGUGGUCAGUGUGCCCAGGGCUCUGCCACACGUCCUGAGGUCAGCAGUCUUCAUAGUUGUGCCCCAGGCAGAGGGGAUAGUGGAAGCAAAGACAAAGAGAAGUCACAUUAGCGGGUAGGAAUGGCUGGACUGAAAUAGAGAGGCAGAUGGGGCCGGAGGCCAUUGGAGCUCUCAAGGGCCUUGGAUGGCACAUUGGAGGGUCUGGGUUUUACCCCUAGGCCAUAGAGUCCCAGUGAAGGGUUUCAAGUAGAGGAGAGAUGAAGUCAGACCUCUGCUCUGGGUGCUGCCCUGGCUGCCAUGCAAGAGAGAAACUGAAGGGCAGGGCCAAUAGUCCAGUGCCCAGGUGGGAGGCAAACAGGGCCUUUGGGAAGGAGGAUAUGGUGCAAUCCAGAUUUUCCCAAGAGGUCAGAAGAGUGUAGGGAAUAAAAGAUUGGACUCCGAAGUAAGAACAGUCAACGAGGCUGAAGCCUGUCUCCAGGGACUGCUGGGACCCAUCUUAUCUCAGCCUCCAUUUUUUCAUCUGUAAAGAAAGACAGUAAGAUAAUCUGCCUCAAAUGGUUGUGGUGAUGAUUCAAUAAGUCAUUUAAAGGGGUUGGCAAGUGUGUGGCAGAAAGGCGGUGACAGGUAACUGUCAGUUGUGGCUGCCUUGAAGGGUGGGUUUCCUGACUGUGCACCUGCCUGGCUGCUCAUGGCUCCACACUCAGAAGGGCCCUGCACUUGGUCUAGUACUGUGCUGACACCAUAGUGAAAUUCUUUUUUUUUUUCUUUUGAGAUGGAGUCUCGCUCUGUCACCCAGGCUGGAGUACAGUGGCACGAUCAUGACGCACUGCAGCCUCUGCCUUCCGGGUUCAAGCAAUUCUUCUGCCUCAGCCUCCCGAAUAGCUGGGACUACAGAUGCACACUGCCAUGCCCAGCUAAUUUUUUGUAUUUUUAGUAAAAAUGGGGUUUCACCAUGUUGGCCAGGACUGUCUUUAUCACCUGACCUCGUGAUCCAGCCAUCUUGGCCUCCCAAAGUGCUGGGAUUACAGGCAUGAGCCACCGUGCCUGGCUGAAUUUUUUUUCUUUUUCUUUGAGAUGGAGUUUUGCUCUUGUUGCCCAGGCUGGAGUGCAAUGGCACAACCUCAGCUCAAUGCAACCUCCGCCUCCAGGGUUCAAGCGAUUCUCCUGCCUCAGCUUCCUGAGUAGCUGGGAUUACAGGCGGACGCCACCACACCCGGCUAAGUUUUAUAUAUAUAUAUAUAUAUUUUUUUUUAGUAGAAACAGAGUUUGUCCAUGUUGGUCAGGCUGAUAUAUAUAUUUUUUUAGUAGAAACAGAGUUUCUCCAUGUUGUUCAGGCUGGUCUUGAACUCCUGACCUCAGGUGAUCCGCCCGCCUUGGCCUCCCAAAGUGCUGUCAGGAGUUUGAGACCACCAGCCUGACCAACAUGGUGAAUUUCCAUCUCUACUGAAAACAUAAAAAUUAGCCAGACAUGGUGGCACAUGCCUGUAAUCCCAGUUAUUUGGGAGGGUGAGGCAGGAGAAUUGCUUGAACCAAUUUGGGAGGCAGAGGUUGCAGUGAGCUGAGAUCAUGCCGCUGCAUUCCGGCCUGGGCAACAGAGUGAGACUCUGUCUCAAAACUAAAAAAUCAUUUUAAAAAAUUAAAAAUUAAGUCCAGGUGCAGUGGCUCACACCUGUAAUCCCAGCACUUUGUGAGGCCAAGGUUGGUGGAUCACUUGCAGUCAAGAGUUUGAGACCAGCCUGACCAACAUGGUGAAACUCCAUCUCUACUAAAAAUACAAAAUUAACCAGGAGUGAUGGUACACGCCUGUAAUCUUAGCUACUUGGGAGACUGAGGCAAGAGAAUAUCUUGAACCUGGGAGGCAGAGGUUGCAGUGAACUGAGAUCAUGCCAUUGCACUCCGGUCUGGGUGACAGAGCAAAACUUCAUUUCAAAAAAAAAAAUAUAUAGCUGGCAUAGUGGUUCUUGCCUGUGGUCCCAGCUCUGAGGCAAGAGGAUCAUUUGAGUCCAGUAUGUUGAGGUUGCAGUGAAUCAUGAAAGAAGGAGGAGGAGGAGGGAGGGAGGGAGGAGGGGGAAGAGGAGGGGAGGAGGGGGAGGAGUAAGGAGAAGAAGGAGAAGGAGGGAUAAGAAAGAAGGAAGAGGAAGAAGGAGGAGGAGGAGUCUGAUGGGACAAUGGGGUGUGUACACAAGCAGAGGAGACAUGAACAUAUGCCACCCUAUUUGCAUGUCACAUAUAUGAUGCCCCGUGAGCACAUAAUUCCAGUGGGCCCACAAUGCAUGGGAGUUUAGCAAGACUCAAAGCCAGUACAAGGCUGGGGUGUUAUAUCUGUGGUUCAACAUGUAGAAAUGCUUCCAGUCCAGAGGGGCUACACUUCCCAUUUAAACCAGAACUUACUUCAGAUACUAAAAGAAGGCAGUGGUGUUCUAAGAAGCAUGACAACUUAGGAACCUUAUCCUAUCCUUUUUCAUUGGAGUUACUUCCCUGGAUUAGCCAACCACCUCAGCUGACAGUAAUGACCCAGAAGAAAAGGAAAAGACAGAACAACCCAUAAUUCCUUUUCUUUUCAGUUUUUUACUCAUCAGUAAGCCAAAGGCAGGAAACAUUAGUAGAAUGUGCACAAAUCAAGACGUGAAGUAAAACCAUUGUUUUUUUGUUUACUUGAGUGAGCUUUGUGCAGCAUUUCUACAGUCCUGAUAAGCCUGAAAUCCUGCAUGUAUACGAGCUCUAACAUACAAAUUGUGUCAUUUCAGUGAUUCCACAUAGGAGUCAGGUACUCUUAUACUUGCAUUGAAACCUGGCAUUGCUGAAUAUACAGAUGAAUGGUGAGAUGCAUGUGAAUAAUUUAAAAUUUUGAGUUUUCUCAGAAUGACAUUAAAUAGCAGAAAGAAAGAUUUUA